rnacentral:SRP_RNA from 1 species
GCCGGGCAUGGUGGCGUGCGCCUGUAGUCCCAGCUACUUGGGAGGCUGAGGCAGGAGAAUGGCGUGAACCUGGGAGGCGGAGCUUGCAGUGAGCUGAGAUCACGCCACUGCACUUCAGCCUGGGCGACAGAGCAAGACUCCGUCNNNNNNNNNNGACGGAGUCUUGCUCUGUCACCCAGGCUGGAGUGCAGUGGCGUGAUCUUGGCUCACUACAGCCUCCGCCUCCCAGGUUCAAGCAAUUCUCCUACCUCAG